UACGGGGGGGGCAAGCGUUGUUCGGAAUUACUGGGCGUAAAGGGUGCGUAGGUGGGUCUGUAAGUCAGUGGUGAAAUCUCCGGGCUUAACCCGGAAACUGCCAUUGAUACUAUAGGUCUUGAAUUUUCUGGAGGUCAGCGGAAUAUGUCAUGUAGCGGUGAAAUGCUUAGAUAUGACAUAGAACACCAAUUGCGAAGGCAGCUGGCUACAGGAACAUUGACACUGAGGCACGAAAGCGUGGGGAUCAAACAGG
rnacentral:rRNA from 1 species